rnacentral:rRNA from 1 species
UACGUAGGGCGCGAGCGUUGUCCGGAAUCAUUGGGCGUAAAGAGCUCGUAGGCGGCCGGUUGCGUCUGCUGUGAAAUCCCGGGGCUUAACCCCGGGCGUGCAGUGGAUACGGGCUGGCUGGAGGCAGGCAGGGGAGAAUGGAAUUCCCGGUGUAGCGGUGAAAUGCGCAGAUAUCGGGAGGAACACCGGUGGCGAAGGCGGUUCUCUGGGCAGCUGCUGACGCUGAGGUGCGAGAGCGUGGGGAGCGGAACCGG